GUGGAGGAAGCAUCAUAAACACCGCUCUGAAGUUGAUGUUGAAAUAUCUCUGUAUUGAUGAUAUUCUCGAUAAACAUAGCUAUAAAGGCAGGAGUGGAAAAAUUCCUUGUACGAAUUAUGGGGAUCUGGUCGGUGCUAUGCACGCUGGUUUGUUGAAGAACGAGUUAACAAGGCCAGUGGGGACUCAAGAAGCAAUGGAUAUAGCACUUCCAGCAGAACUAAAGAAGGCUGCAGACAGAAUUUAUAAGUUAAA